rnacentral:rRNA from 1 species
CAGUAGCCGCGGUAAUACGAAGGGGGCUAGCGUUGCUCGGAAUGACUGGGCGUAAAGGGCGCGUAGGCGGAUUGUUUAGUUAGGCGUGAAAUUCCUGGGCUUAACCUGGGGACUGCGCUUAAUACAGGCAGUCUAGAGUGAGGAAGAGGGUUGUGGAAUUCCCAGUGUAGAGGUGAAAUUCGUAGAUAUUGGGAAGAACACCGGUGGCGAAGGCGGCAACCUGGUCCUCGACUGACGCUGAGGCGCGAAAGCGUGGGGAGCAAACAGGAUUAGAUACCCCCGUAGUCCCUGUCUCUUAUAC